AGAUAUAAAACCCUUCCCCAUAGGUGUUAUAUAUUCCAUACUUUAGACACUCUGGGAAUUAAUGCCCAUCAGUGAAUUGGAUCAGAUUUGCUUUGAACUUCAUCCAACUCUAUGACCUGGAACAUUUAGACUGAUGUGAUCUCCCAGAUUAAUACGUUAGAUAGUUAGAACUUUCCAUUUCUAGAAUUGCCUAGUUAUAAAAUGGUAAUUCAUCAUGGGAAUCAGGCAGAAGGAAAAAGGACAUUUCACUUCUCCAAGUGCUAUUAAACUCCUGUGAAACGGAUCUGUCAGCUCCUGAGACUAUGUUUCCUUCAGAUAUCUGCCAAGCUGGGACAAGUGAACUUAGACCACACGUACAUUUCUUCUUUGACCCUG